GUGAGGAAUAUUGGUCAAUGGACGGAAGUCUGAACCAGCCAAGUAGCGUGCAGGAUGACGGCCCUAUGGGUUGUAAACUGCUUUUAUGCGGGGGUAAAGUGAGUGACGUGUCAUUCAUUACAAGUACCGCAAGAAUAAGGACCGGCUAAUUCCGUGCCAGCAGCCGCGGUAAUACGGAAGGUCCUGGUGUUAUCCGGAUUUAUUGGGUGUAAAGGGAGCGUAGGCCGUCAGGCAAGCGUGUUGUGAAAUGUCGUGGCUCAACCAUGGACUUGCAGCGCGAACUGCCCGACUUGAGUGCGCGGAAAGCAGGCGGAAUUUGUGGUGUAGCGGUGAAAUGCUUAGAUAUCACGAAGAACCCCGAUUGCGAAGGCAGCCUGCUGUAGCGCUACUGACGCUGAAGCUCGAAAGUGCGGGUAUCGAACAGGAUUAGAAACCCUGGUAGUCC
rnacentral:rRNA from 1 species